GCUCCGCCCCUCGGGCUGUUCUCCCUCCCCGGGGGCAGGGACCGCACGGUCUGAGGGGUCCCUGGCGGAAAGGGGGUCCCGCCGUGCCCCUGGCGAACCUCGCGCCCGGGCAGCACCGCGGCUUGUGGGGGUGUCCGGGCCCGGCGGGUCUGAGGGGGUCCCCGUGUGAUGCGAGUGCUGCUGGAGUUGCCACAUCCCGCAAUGAGACACGUUCUCUGAGCUGCACCCAGAGUGUUUCCAGCGCCGGACAGGCCAGGACGGUUUGGGUUGCGCAGGCCGGACAUUCCCGCACAUCCGGGCAUGACCCUGGCAUUGGAGCACGCAGCCUGGAUGAGUGGGGGGGUCUCCAAAGAGCGGGAGCCCAGACGAGGGGAGUUGGCAGCUCGUUAGUGCCCUAAUGCCGCUCCAGGUCUCUGUUUCUGCCCUCCUCGAUGGCUCCAGUACCAUCGUGGCUGCAGCUCGUGUCCAUCUCCAGCCCAUCUUCGCCUCCAGCUCCUCGAUGCCCUCGCCAGCUCUGACUCCAGCCAGUUACAGCUUGUGCUUGUUGAACUGAGCCUGGCUUGUGGCCAGGUUGUAAAUCAAUCACUGUCAUGAUGUGUGGAUAUGACCUGUCAUGAUUGCUCACUGUCCAGCCUUAACUAGGACUAACGAGCGCCCAGGACUCUUGUGGUGGUUGUACAUGCAAUGAAGCAAAUAAAGCGGUGCAGCCCAAACCCACUGUG